AGAAUCAACGCUGGCGGCGUGCCUAACACAUGCAAGUCGCACGAGAAAGGGGAGCAAUCCCUGAGUACAGUGGCGCACGGGUGAGUAACACGUGAAUCAUCUACCUCCGAGUGGGGAAUAACUGAGAGAAAUCUUAGCUAAUACCGCAUAAUACCCACGGGUCAAAGCAGCAAUGCGCUUGGAGAGGAGUUCGCGGCAGAUUAGUUAGUUGGCGGGGUAAUGGCCCACCAAGACGAUGAUCUGUAUCCGGCCUGAGAGGGCGCACGGACACACUGGAACUGAAACACGGUCCAGACUCCUACGGGAGGCAGCAGUGGGGAAUUUUGCGCAAUGGGGGAACCCUGACGCAGCAACGCCGCGUGGAGGAUGAAGCCCCUUGGGGUGUAAACUCCUUUCGAUCGGGAAGAUAAUGACGGUACCGAUAUAAGAAGCCCGGCUAACUUCGCGCCAGCAGCCGC
rnacentral:rRNA from 1 species